rnacentral:rRNA from 1 species
AGUGAACGCUGGCGGUAGGCCUAACACAUGCAAGUCGAACGGCAGCACAGUAAGAGCUUGCUCUUACGGGUGGCGAGUGGCGGACGGGUGAGGAAUACAUCGGAAUCUACUUUUUCGUGGGGGAUAACGUAGGGAAACUUACGCUAAUACCGCAUACGACCUACGGGUGAAAGCAGGGGAUCUUCGGACCUUGCGCGAUUGAAUGAGCCGAUGGCGGAUUAGCUAGUUGGCGGGGUAAAGGCCCACCAAGGCGACGAUCCGUAGCUGGUCUGAGAGGAUGAUCAGCCACACUGGAACUGAGACACGGUCCAGACUCCUACGGGAGGCAGCAGUGGGGAAUAUUGGACAAUGGGCGCAAGCCUGAUCCAGCCAUACCGCGUGGGUGAAGAAGGCCUUCGGGUUGUAAAGCUCUUUUGUUGGGAAAGAAAAGCAGCAGGUUAAUACCCCGCUGUUCUGACGGUACCCAAAGAAUAAGCACCGGCUAACUUCGUG